GCAGGCUAGAGUCUUGUAGAGGGGGGUAGAAUUCCAGGUGUAGCGGUGAAAUGCGUAGAGAUCUGGAGGAAUACCGGUGGCGAAGGCGGCCCCCUGGACAAAGACUGACGCUCAGGUGCGAAAGCGUGGGGAGCAAACAGGAUUAGAUACCCUGGUAGUCCACGCCGUAAACGAUGUCGACUUGGAGGUUGUGCCCUUGAGGCGUGGCUUCCGGAGCUAACGCGUUAAGUCGACCGCCUGGGGAGUACGGCCGCAAGGUUAAAACUCAAAUGAAUUGACGGGGGCCCGCACAAGCGGUGGAGCAUGUGGUUUAAUUCGAUGCAACGCGAAGAACCUUACCUA
rnacentral:rRNA from 1 species